rnacentral:rRNA from 1 species
GGCAGCCGCGGUAAUUCCAGCUCCAAUAGCGUAUAUUAAAGUUGUUGCAGUUAAAAAGCUCGUAGUUGAAUUUCGAGACCGGUUUAUUGGUCGUGCUUUUGUACGUACUGGUAUUAUUGGUUUCUCCUUUCUGACGAAUCUUAAUGCCAUUAAUUUGGUGUUUUGGGGGAUCAGGACUGUUACUUUGAAAAAAUUAGAGUGUUUAAAGCAGGCUCACGCUUGAAUACAUUAGCAUGGAAUAACGGAAUAGGACGUUUGAUUCUAUUUUGUUGGUUUCUAGGAUCGACGUAAUGAUUAAUAGGGAUAGUUGGGGGCAUUAGUAUUCAAUUGUCAGAGGUGAAAUUCUUGGAUUUAUUGAAGACUAACUACUGCGAAAGCAUUUGCCAAGGAUGUUUUCAUUAAUCAAGAACGAAAGUUAGGGGAUCGAAGACGAUCAGAUACCGUCGUAGUCUUAACCAUAAACUAUGCCGACUAGGGAUCGGAUG